rnacentral:rRNA from 1 species
AUUGAACGCUGGCGGCAGGCCUAACACAUGCAAGUCGAGCGGAUGAAGGUAGCUUGCUAUCUGAUUCAGCGGCGGACGGGUGAGUAAUGCCUAGGAAUCUGCCUGGUAGUGGGGGACAACGUUUCGAAAGGAACGCUAAUACCGCAUACGUCCUACGGGAGAAAGUGGGGGAUCUUCGGACCUCACGCUAUCAGAUGAGCCUAGGUACGAUUAGCUAGUUGGUGAGGUAAAGGCUCACCAAGGCGACGAUCGUUAACUGGUCUGAGAGGAUGAUCAGUCACACUGGAA